UACGUAGGGGGCAAGCGUUGUCCGGAAUCAUUGGGCGUAAAGAGCGUGUAGGCGGUUCGGUAAGUCGGCUGUGAAAGUCCAGGGCUCAACCCUGGGAUGCCGGUCGAUACUGCCGGACUAGAGUUCGGAAGAGGCGAGUGGAAUUCCCGGUGUAGCGGUGAAAUGCGCAGAUAUCGGGAGGAACACCUAUGGCGAAGGCAGCUCGCUGGGACGUUACUGACGCUGAGACACGAAAGCCAGGGGAGCAAACGGG
rnacentral:rRNA from 1 species